UACGAAGGUGGCAAGCGUUGUUCGGAUUCACUGGGCAUAAAGGGCGCGUAGGCGGUUCCGCAAGCAUCGUGUGAAAUCCCAUGGCUCAACCAUGGAAUUGCGCGUUGGACUGCGGUUCUCGAGGGCGAGAGGGGGGGUGUGGAACUCUAGGUGUAGCGGUGAAAUGCGUAGAUAUCUAGAGGAACACCGGUGGCGAAAGCGACACCCUGGCUCGCAUCUGACGCUGAGGCGCGAAAGCGUGGGUAGCAAACAGG
rnacentral:rRNA from 1 species